GCAGCAUUGGCUCAGCGGUAGAGCGCUGCCUUGGUAGGGCAGAGAUCCCGGGUUCGAUUCUCGGAUGCUGCU
rnacentral:tRNA from 1 species